AGCGAACGCUGGCGGCAGGCCUAACACAUACAAGUCGAACGAACUCUUCGGAGUUAGUGGCGGACGGGUGAGUAACACGUGGGAACGUGCCUUUAGGUUCGGAAUAACUCAGGGAAACUUGUGCUAAUACCGAAUGUGCCCUUCGGGGGAAAGAUUUAUCGCCUUUAGAGCGGCCCGCGUCUGAUUAGCUAGUUGGUGAGGUAAAGGCUCACCAAGGCGACGAUCAGUAGCUGGUCUGAGAGGAUGAUCAGCCACAUUGGGACUGAGACACGGCCCAAACUCCUACGGGAGGCAGCAGUGGGGAAUCUUGCGCAAUGGGCGAAAGCCUGACGCAGCCAUGCCGCGUGAAUGAUGAAGGUCUUAGGAUUGUAAAAUUCUUUCACCGGGGACGAUAAUGACGGUACCCGGAGAAGAAGCCCCGGCUAACUUCGUG
rnacentral:rRNA from 1 species